rnacentral:rRNA from 1 species
GCGGCGUGCUUACACAUGCAGUCGAACGGUGAAGCCCAGCUUGCUGGGUGGAUCAGUGGCGAACGGGUGAGUAACACGUGAGCAACCUGCCCUCCACUUUGGGAUAAGCCUUGGAAACGAGGUCUAAUACCGAAUAUGAGCAUGCGACGCAUGUCGUGUGUUGGAAAGUUUUUCGGUGGGGGAUGGGCUCGCGGCCUAUCAGCUUGUUGGUGGGGUAAUGGCCUACCAAGGCGUCGACGGGUAGCCGGCCUGAGAGGGCGACCGGCCACACUGGGACUGAGACACGGCCCAGACUCCUACGGGAGGCAGCAGUGGGGAAUAUUGCACAAUGGGCGAAAGCCUGAUGCAGCGACGCCGCGUGAGGGAUGACGGCCUUCGGGUUGUAAACCUCUUUCAGCAGGGAAGAAGGCUUCGGUUGACGGUACCUGCAGAAGAAGCGCCGGCUAACUACGUGCCAGCAGCCGCGGUAAUACGUAGGGCGCAAGCGUUGUCCGGAAUUAUUGGGCGUAAAGAGCUCGUAGGCGGUCUGUCGCGUCUGGUGUGAAAACCCGAGGCUCAACCUCGGGCUUGCAUCGGGUACGGGCAGACUAGAGUGCGGUAGGGGAGACUGGAAUUCCUGGUGUAGCGGUGGAAUGCGCAGAUAUCAGGAGGAACACCGAUGGCGAAGGCAGGUCUCUGGGCCGCAACUGACGCUGAGGAGCGAAAGCAUGGGGAGCGAACAGGAUUAGAUACCCUGGUAGUCCAUGCCGUAAACGUUGGGCACUAGGUGUGGGGCUCAUUCCACGAGUUCCGUGCCGCAGCUAACGCAUUAAGUGCCCCGCCUGGGGAGUACGGCCGCAAGGCUAAAACUCAAAGGAAUUGACGGGGGCCCGCACAAGCGGCGGAGCAUGCGGAUUAAUUCGAUGCAACGCGAAGAACCUUACCAAGGCUUGACAUGCACCGGACGCUGCCAGAGAUGGUGGUUCCGCAAGGUCGGUGCACAGGUGGUGCAUGCUUGUCGUCAGCUCGUGUCGUGAGAUGUUGGGUUAAGUCCCGCAACGAGCGCAACCCUCGUCCCAUGUUGCCAGCGGGUUAUGCCGGGGACUCAUGGGAGACUGCCGGGGUCAACUCGGAGGAAGGCGG